CCUACGGGGGGCAGCAGUCGAGAAUCAUUCACAAUGGGGGAAACCCUGAUGGUGCGACGCCGCGUGGGGGAAUGAAGGUCUUCGGAUUGUAAACCCCUGUCAUGUGGGAGCAAAUUAAAAAGAUAGUACCACAAGAGGAAGAGACGGCUAACUCUGUGCCAGCAGCCGCGGUAAUACAGAGGGCUCAAGCGUUGUUCGGAAUCACUGGGCGUAAAGCGUGCGUAGGCUGUUUCGUAAGUCGUGUGUGAAAGGCGCGGGCUCAACCCGCGGACGGCACAUGAUACUGCGAGACUAGAGUAAGGGAGGGGGAACCGGAAUUCUCGGUGUAGCAGUGAAAUGCGUAGAUAUCGAGAGGAACACUCGUGGCGAAGGCGGGUUCCUGGACAUUAACUGACGCUGAGGCACGAAGGCCAGGGGAGCGAAAGGGAUUAGAUACCCUAGUAGUC
rnacentral:rRNA from 1 species